AAAAAGUAACAGGGGAGCCGAUGUGGCUGAGAGUGGGCUAUUAAGUCCUGACCCUCAAACCUGAUCUGGGUAAUGCCAGCGUAGGGAAGUCAUUUGAAGUGUGGA
rnacentral:ncRNA from 1 species